rnacentral:misc_RNA from 1 species
GAUGAAGAACGCAGCGAAAUGCGAUAAGUAAUGUGAAUUGCAGAAUUCAGUGAAUCAUCGAAUCUUUGAACGCACAUUGCGCCCGCCAGUAUUCUGGCGGGCAUGCCUGUUCGAGCGUCAUUUCAACCAUCAAGCCCCCGGCUUGUGUUGGGGACCUGCGGCUGCCGCAGGCCAUGAAAACCAGUGGCGGGCUCGCUAGUCACUCCGAGCGUAGUAAUACAUCUCGCUCAGGGCGUGCUGCGGGUUCCGGCCGUUAAAAAGCCUUAUUUACCCAAGGUUGACCUCGGAUCAGGUAGGAAGACCCGCUGAACUUAAGCAUAUCAAUAAGCGGAGGA